rnacentral:rRNA from 1 species
UACGGGGGGAGCAAGCGUUGUUCGGAUUUACUGGGCGUAAAGGGCGCGUAGGCGGCCAGCACAAGUCAGUUGUGAAAUCUCCGAGCUUAACUCGGAACGGUCAACUGAUACUGUGCGGCUAGAGUGCAGAAGGGGCAACUGGAAUUCUCGGUGUAGCGGUGAAAUGCGUAGAUAUCGAGAGGAACACCUGCGGCGAAGGCGGGUUGCUGGGCUGACACUGACGCUGAAGCGCGAAAGCUAGGGGAGCGAACGGG